UACCAGCACCCCGAGUGGUCGGGACGUUUAUUGGGCCUAAAGCAUCCGUAGCCGGUUCUACAAGUCUUCCGUUAAAUCCAGCUGCUUAACAGAUGGGCUGCGGAAGAUACUAUGGAGCUAGGAGGCGGGAGAGGCAAGCGGUACUCGAUGGGUAGGGGUAAAAUCCGUUGAUCCAUUGAAGACCACCAGUGGCGAAGGCGGCUUG
rnacentral:rRNA from 1 species